rnacentral:rRNA from 1 species
UACGGAGGGGGCUAGCGUUGUUCGGAAUUACUGGGCGUAAAGCGCUCGUAGGCGGCUUUGUAAGUUAGAGGUGAAAGCCCAGGGCUUAACUCUGGAAUUGCCUUUAAGACUGCAUCGCUAGAAUCGUGGAGAGGUGAGUGGAAUUCCGAGUGUAGAGGUGAAAUUCGUAGAUAUUCGGAAGAACACCAGUGGCGAAGGCGACUCACUGGACACGUAUUGACGCUGAGGUGCGAAAGCGUGGGGAGCAAACAGG